rnacentral:rRNA from 1 species
UACGUAGGGGCUAGCGUUAUCCGGAAUUACUGGGCGUAAAGGGUGCGUAGGUGGUUUCUUAAGUCAGAGGUGAAAGGCUACGGCUCAACCGUAGUAAGCUCUUGAAACUGUAAGACUUGAGUGCAGGAGAGGAGAGUGGAAUUCCUAGUGUAGCGGUGAAAUGCGUAGAUAUUAGGAGGAACACCAGUAGCGAAGGCGGCUUUCUGGCCAGUUACUGACGCUCAUGCGCGAAAGCUGGGGUAGCGAACCGGAUUAGAUACCCCCGUAGUCCCUGAGCGGG